rnacentral:rRNA from 1 species
UACGUAGGGGGCAAGCGUUGUCCGGAAUCAUUGGGCGUAAAGAGCGUGUAGGCGGUCCGGUAAGUCGGCUGUGAAAGUCCAGGGCUCAACCCUGGGAUGCCGGUCGAUACUGCCGGACUAGAGUUCGGAAGAGGUGAGUGGAAUUCCUGGUGUAGCGGUGAAAUGCGCAGAUAUCAGGAGGAACACCAAUGGCGAAGGCAGCUCACUGGGACGGUAUUGACGCUGAGACGCGAAAGCGUGGGGAGCAAACAGG